rnacentral:rRNA from 1 species
AUUGAACGCUGGCGGCAGGCCUAACACAUGCAAGUCGAACGAGUGGCGGACGGGUGCGUAAUGUCUGGGAAACUGCCCGAUGGAGGGGGAUAACUACUGGAAACGGUAGCUAAUACCGCGUACCAUAGGAUGUGCCCAGAUGGGAUUAGCUUGUAGGUGAGGUAACGGCUCACCUAGGCGACGAUCCCUAGCUGGUAUGAGAGGAUGAACAGCCAAACUGGAACUGAGACACGGUCCAGCCUCCGACGGUAGGGAGCAGUGGGGAAUAUUGCACAAGUGGCGAAAGCCUGAUGCAGCCAUGCCGCGUGUAUGAAGAAGGCCUUCGGGUUGUAAAGUACUUUCAGCGGGGAGGCGUUACCCGCAGAAGAAGCACCGGCUAACUCCGUGCCAGCAGCCGCGGUAAUAC